rnacentral:rRNA from 1 species
ACAGCAGCCGCCGCGGUAAUACAGAGGGUGCGAGCGUUAAUCGGAUUUACUGGGCGUAAAGCGUGCGUAGGCGGCUUCUUAAGUCGGAUGUGAAAUCCCUGAGCUUAACUUAGGAAUUGCAUUCGAUACUGGGAAGCUAGAGUAUGGGAGAGGAUGGUAGAAUUCCAGGUGUAGCGGUGAAAUGCGUAGAGAUCUGGAGGAAUACCGAUGGCGAAGGCAGCCAUCUGGCCUAAUACUGACGCUGAGGUACGAAAGCAUGGGGAGCAAACAGGAUUAGAGACCCGCGUAGUCCCUGUCUCUUAUAC